rnacentral:rRNA from 1 species
AGGUAGUGGCGGCGGCUUACCAUGCAGUCGAGCGGGGAAGGGUAGCUUGCUACCUGACCUAGCGGCGGACGGGUGAGUAAUGCUUAGGAAUCUGCCUAUUAGUGGGGGACAACAUUCCGAAAGGAAUGCUAAUACCGCAUACGCCCUACGGGGGAAAGCAGGGGAUCUUCGGACCUUGCGCUAAUAGAUGAGCCUAAGUCAGAUUAGCUAGUUGGUGGGGUAAAGGCCUACCAAGGCGACGAUCUGUAGCGGGUCUGAGAGGAUGAUCCGCCACACUGGGACUGAGACACGGCCCAGACUCCUACGGGAGGCAGCAGUGGGGAAUAUUGGACAAUGGGCGAAAGCCUGAUCCAGCCAUGCCGCGUGUGUGAAGAAGGCCUUUUGGUUGUAAAGCACUUUAAGCGAGGAGGAGGCUACUGAGAUUAAUACUCUUGGAUAGUGGACGUUACUCGCAGAAUAAGCACCGGCUAACUCUGUGCCAGCAGCCGCGGUAAUACAGAGGGUGCGAGCGUUAAUCGGAUUUACUGGGCGUAAAGCGUGCGUAGGCGGCUUUUUAAGUCGGAUGUGAAAUCCCUGAGCUUAACUUAGGAAUUGCAUUCGAUACUGGGAAGCUAGAGUAUGGGAGAGGAUGGUAGAAUUCCAGGUGUAGCGGUGAAAUGCGUAGAGAUCUGGAGGAAUACCGAUGGCGAAGGCAGCCAUCUGGCCUAAUACUGACGCUGAGGUACGAAAGCAUGGGGAGCAAACAGGAUUAGAUACCCUGGUAGUCCAUGCCGUAAACGAUGUCUACUAGCCGUUGGGGCCUUUGAGGCUUUAGUGGCGCAGCUAACGCGAUAAGUAGACCGCCUGGGGAGUACGGUCGCAAGACUAAAACUCAAAUGAAUUGACGGGGCCCGCACAAGCGGUGGAGCAUGGUGGUUUAAUUCGAUGCAACGCGAAGAACCUUACCUGGGUCUUGAACAUAGUAAGAACUUUCCAGAGGAUGGAUCUGGU